CCUGAACGCUGGCGGCGUGGCUAAGACAUGCAAGUCGCACGGGUGUAGCAAUACACCAGUGGCGAACGGGUGAGUAAUGAAUCGCUAACGUACCCCGGACUCCGGGAUAGCCGGCCGAAAGGCCGGGUAAUACCGGUUGACGUAACCGCCAGGCAUCUGGUGGUUCCCAAAGGUCCGCCGGUCUGGGCGCGGGCGAUUUCGUAUCAGCUAGUUGGUGCGGGUAACGGCCCACCAAGGCGACGACGCGAGCCGGACCGAGAGGUUGGCCGGCCACAUCGGGACUGAGACACUGCCCGGACUCCUACGGGGGGCUNCAGUAACGAAUCUUCCCCAAUGCACGCAAGUGUGAGGGAGCGACGCCGCGUGUGGGAC
rnacentral:rRNA from 1 species